rnacentral:lncRNA from 1 species
GUCAUGUGUACUAUUGUUGUCUUUUUCAUUUUUAGCUAUGGCGUUGUCACUUUAUUUUCGAUUUAUGAGUUUGACUGUCCCUCUGGUAUCUUUCAUCCCUCUCUUUCCACUAAUGCACAGCCCCAUUGCUGUUUAUGUUAAAAUCUGCAAGUUCAAAUACAGUUGUCAUUUCUUGUCAAAACUAUACCUUAUCCUAAUGUGUGCUGGAAAAUUC